rnacentral:rRNA from 1 species
AGAGUUUGAUCCUGGCUCAGGAUCAACGCUGGCGGCGUGCCUAACGCAUGUAAGUCGCACGGGUGUCCUUCGGGACAUCAGUGGCGAACGGCUGAGGAACACGUACGAACCGGCCCGCUUGUGGGGAAUAACGCGCCGAAAGGCGUGCUAAUCCGCGUACGCUCGGCUCUCUGAGGGGGUCGAGGAAACUAACGGCGCAGGCGGAGGGGCGUGCGGCCCAUCAGGUUGUUGGUGGGGUAAUGGCCUACCAAGCCGGUGACGGGUAGCUGGUCUGUGAGGACGAUCAGCCAGACUGGGACUGCGACACGGCCCAGACACCUACGGGUGGCAGCAGCGAGGAAUCUUCCACAAUGGGCGCAAGCCCGAUGGAGCAACGCCGCGUGGAGGACGACGGCCUUCGGGUUGUAAACUCCUUUCGGGGGGGAUGAUACGGACAGUACCCUCAGAAGCAGCCCCGGCUAACUCUGUGCCAGCAGCCGCGGUAAUACAGAGGGGGCAAGCGUUGUCCGGAAUUACUGGGCGUACAGCGCGCGCAGGCGGGUGGUGACGUGCCGUGUGACAGGCGCCGGCUUAACCGGCGUAGGCCAUGGUAGACGCAUCGUCUGGAGGCAGGGAGAGGGAUGUGGAAUGCCCGGUGGAGCGGUGAAAUGCGUAGAGAUCGGGCGGAACACCAGCGGCGAAGGCGGCAUCCUGGCCCUGACCUGACGCUGAGGCGCGAGAGCGUGGGGAGCAAACCGGAUUAGAUACCCUAGUAGUCC